rnacentral:rRNA from 1 species
UACGAAGGGGGCGAGCGUUGUUCGGAUUUACUGGGCGUAAAGGCGCGUAGGCGGCCCGUUUUGUCAGGCGUGAAAGCCCUGGGCUCAACCUGGGAAUGGCGCUUGGGACGGACGGGCUGGAGAUCGGGAGAGGAGAGUGGAAUUCCCAGUGUAGAGGUGAAAUUCGUAGAUAUUCGCAAGAACACCAGUGGCGAAGGCGGCUCGCUGGGACGUGACUGACGCUGAGACGCGAAAGCGUGGGGAGCAAACAGG